AUUAAGAUAGCUCAAAUUUUAGAGCUUUGCAUUGAAGCUGCAAAAGUGACUUCUAGUCUCUUAAUA
rnacentral:tRNA from 1 species